ACCUUUUUUAUGGAGGAAGUUUGGAGGAAGAUGAGUUUUGGAAUGUUAGUUUUGUUGGAACGCAAAGGGUUCCUCUCAUGUUCGAUGAUCGGCCAUUAUUUUCUGAGGUGCUUAGCAGUGCUCGUGAUGAGCUUAAGUGCAAUGCUAAUGAGGAUGACAUCUCAGUUGAGGGGGUACUUCACUAUGGUAAAUCGGGUCGUAUUUUUAGGCGGUUGGUCCCCAUUACAUCAGAGGCUCAGUGGGACAAAUAUGUGAAAACUGUGAUGAAGAAUGACUUUCAAUGUUUGGAUUUGGUAGUACCGAAGCUGUCCAAUAAUCUCUCCAUUCAUGGGUAUGCAUCCCCUAAUGGACAUUCACCCACUCAUGAGUUGUUGCCAGAACGAGAUAAUUUGCCAAUCCCUGAGCCUCUAUUACCGAACCGCGAGGUGGAUGGGGAAGAUGUGGUUGCGGUGCCUGAUGCUCAAUCUGCUCCGGAUGAGGUUGGUGUAUGUCCUGGUGUACGUGCCUCAUUUGGCGCUGCUGAUGGUUUUCCUGCCCCUCAGGAGAUUCCUUUGACCUAGAAUCAUCCUAGAGACAAUCCUGAUAAUGAUGGUUGUGCCCCUGUUCGUCCAUCAACCAACAUGGACCCAGGGUUUAUAGCCUCUAACAGCUUGGAUGUUGAGAUUGUGGAUGAUGAGGAGCCUUAUGGCACAGCAAGGGCUGUUCAUUCUGAUGAUGACUGUCCCGUUCCUAAUUUGAGUGAACAAGAAAUGGAGCUCAUCAGAUGUUUUUGUCCUGAUCGUGAUCCACUCAUUCCUGAGUUCAGCUCCCUUAGUCAUUCACAAAAUGCUUAUGGUCAAGGAAGAGAUGAUGAGUUGGUAGAGGCUCCUGAGCCAGGCGAUAGUGUGGAGAUUCAGAAGGGCAUGGUCUUCAAGGACUUGCCCGCUUUAAGGAGGUGGUUCCAGGACUAUUCUGUGAGACGUAAAAGACCUUUCAAGGUGAGGCACUCCUAUGUGGAGCGCCGUUACACGGUGGUGUGUGAAAUGGCGGAUUGCAAUUGGAGGGUCUGUGCUCGCAAACAAAAGGCCACAGGGAAGUUUAUGAUCACCAGAAUUGUUGGUCCACACACUUGUGCUCAGACGGAUUUACAACAGAAGCACCGCCAGUUGACCUCUACCCUCAUUGCCAGCGCGUUGUACACAACUUUGAAGGAACAGCCAAACUUGAAGGUUAGGACAAUUAUGGACAUGGCUCGGAAAAUUUUCAAGUAUGACAUAAAGUAUGGUAAGGCAUGGAGGGCAAAGCAACGAGCCUGGAAGAUGAUAUAUGGGGACUGGGAGGAGGGGUAUGAACAGUUGCCGGCAAUGUUCAAUGCAAUAAAAGUAGCAAAUCCAGGCAUGCAUUAUGAGUAUAUCCCAAAGCCGAAUGAAUGGAAGGAUGGGAGGCAGAUAUUCUUUCGAGCAUUUUGGUGCUUUUCUCAGUGCGUUGAGGCCUUCAGGCAUUGUCGUCCGGUGUUAUCCAUUGAUGGUACUUUUUUGCUUGGCAAGUACAUGGGCACACUUUUGGUAGCCAUUUCAUGUGACGCGGACAAUGCAUUGGUUCCUUUAGCUUUUGCUCUAGUGGAGAGAGAGAACAAAGAUAGUUGGGGCUGGUUCAUGCGGCUUGUUAGGAUACAUGUCAUUGGCCUCAUAGGGAGGUUGGUGUCAUAUCUGAUAGACACCAAGGAAUACUCAGUGCAGUACAAGAGCAGAUUCCGGGGUAUGCACCUUUGCAGCACCGUUGGUGCACUCGAAACCUUGCAGAGAAUUUACUUCGGAAGGAUGGAACCAAAGACAACUUUCCUCUUUUCAAGGAGGUUGCCCGCAUGCUUGAGGUUAAAUUCUUUGAGGAGAAGUUGGAGCAGCUACGAAUGGCAACGAACGCAGAAGGUAGGCAGUGGCUAAGAGAAUUGAUGAGAGAACCGGAGAAAUGGACAAGAGCAUACGAUGAUGGUGGAUGGAGGUACGAGUUUCAGACUAGCAAUAUGGCUGAGUCAUUUAACAGUGUGCUGAAGGGCAUACGUGCCAUGCCUGUCAAUGCAAUAGUAUCAUUUACCUUUUAUCGGUUAGUUGCAUGGUUUAACCAGAGACACGCUCAAGCUUUGGCAUUACGAAGUAAUAAUCAAAAAUGGGCACCUAAACCCAAGAAACAUCUCGAUAGGGCAAAGGAAAGGGCUACCACACAUGACGUCGAUUGCUCCUUUGACCAUAACACUGGCAAGUACCAGAUCACAGAAAGGGGUGGUACAACGACCGAUGGUGAGAUCAGACCAUCAAGGAGUUAUAUUGUGGUACUUAGUGAAUUUUCGUGCAAAUGUGGGAGAACCAGGCAGUACCACUUUCCUUGUUCUCAUUAUAUUGCAGCAUCUCAGCAUCGAAACUUUGCAUAUAAGGCCCAGAUACCCCAGGAGUUCAGUGUUGAUAACCUUGUGCAGACUUGGUCUCCCCGUUUUGAGCCUUUCCUAGACGUCGGCCAGUGGCCGCCUUACACUGGACCCAAAUACAUUGCGGAUCCAGGUACUCGCUGGGACAAACGUGGAACCAGGAAGAGGACAAGGCACAAAAUGGUCAUGGAUCAGGUUUCCGGUAGAUCUAGGCGAGGGAGAGCAACUCCCUUUCUUAUCAGAACCAAUGUGGCAAGUGUGGUAGACUUGGGCAUAACCAACGUACAUGCCAUUGGCCCCUUAGUCAGGAUGGAGGCGUUCCACAUGCUGGAGCCACACUAUGAGAAGAACCACCGAGGACGACUCACCGCGGAGGGGGAGGAACUGCACCCUCUUCGUCCUCGAACCCACGAUAAGUUCGAGGACAUGCGGUACGACGACAGGUACACUCCUCUCCUUGAGAGGGCUGGACUUGACGUUGUAUCGUUCCAGGUUCGCCGUGGGUUGCCCCCCUUCAACCCCGCGGCGAUCUCUAGUUGACAGAUGGAGACCGGAGACUCACAGCUUUCACCUACCUUGUGGUGAGAUGACUAUUACUCUUGAAGACACACAGAAGUUUCUUGGUGUCCGUAUCAGUGGCCGCCCAGUUAUAGGAAGGUGCAGUGCUGCUGGUUGGAGAGAGAGAGUGGAGGUCUUCCUUGGAAGAGAGCUUCCUCCAGAUACACCGAGUUCCCGCACCUCUGGAGUACUCCUCAGCUGGUUGAGGACUAACUUUGGUCAGUGUCCUCCGAUUAAUGCAGACGACCAGACCAUAACUUACUACUGCAGGGCAUGGGUCAUGCAUCUCUUUGGUUGUGUUCUCUUCCCUGAUGGCACCGGAGACACCGCAUCUUGGAUGUACCUGCCAUGUCUUACUGAUUGGCACACGGCGGGGGGCUACAGCUGGGGUUCAGCAAUCCUGGGCUACUUGUACCGACAGCUCUGUGAGGCUUGCCGCUGGAAUUCAACGCACCCUUCCUUAGGUGGAUGUGUCUACCUGCUCCAGCUUUGGAUGUGGUCUCGUAUACCUGUUGGACGUCCCAAGGUUAACGAACCUCGCUAGUGGUUCGAUGUUCCUGGCCUUCGUCGUCGGCCGACCUAUGCCUACCUAUGGGACCAGGUAAAGGGUCCCUUCGCUCGGAGUAAACGCGCCUAUGUCGAGUUUGCGAACGAGCUCGACGCACUGACACCAGGGCUGGUGACUUGGGAGCCAUAUGAUGAUGAACAGUAUGCAGACAUUGGGUUAAGCGUCAUGUGCAAGAUGGACGAAGACCUGUACCUGAUGCGUUGCCCACUUAUCUGUUUCUACGCGGUUGAGUGGCACUUGCCACACCGGGUUGCACGCCAAUUUGGGUUGAAGCAACAGUUUCCCAUAGAGCCCUUCUCGACGUCAAUAGACUUGCACAAGAUCGAUCGUCAGAAGCAAAAGAAGGAGACGGACUUUGAGAGCUUGCACCGUCACUACAUUGACCAGUGGGAAAAUGUUCAUGAAAAUAUUUAUGAGAAUGACGAACCCCACACAAACGAUAACUUCAGAGCAUACCUAACCUGGUACAGAGGGGCAACAAGGACCAAGCUGAAGGUGCAAUGGACCCAAGCAGACUAUGCCGAUAUUACUUCAUCUGAUGAGGAACAAACGUCUUACGACCUUGCUACGAGGGAAGGGACACAAGUGGAGUGUGCACCGAUCCUGGACCGAGUGGGUAACUCGUUAAAUAAAUCGGUGGUCGAGAUAGAACGGUUUCCAAGGACAGGCGUGGACCAGAACACAAUAAAUACCUUUCUCACAAGGCUAGCACGUAGGCUAAGGCGCGCUGCACGUCGUUGUGGUUGUGGCACUAGCACGGCGAUCGACAUACACGAGCCACAUGCACAGCAAUGGGAACGAUGGCCCAGCAGCAUUUCUGCUCCAGGAGGUUCUAGAGGACAAAGCUCUUCCACGGGAACUGUCGACACUUUCCAAGUCAACAGACUUCAGGACGACGAGGAACAAGAUGAGGAGACCGAAGACCAUGGCUAUGAUGAGCUUAGCGACUCUGAGAUCCCGGACGCUCCUACGGAUCAGGCAACGCAAGGUGCAGAAACUAGGCGACGCCAUCCGCCUUCGAAAUACACUCCAGGAACCGGUGCUCUAGGCCAUAAGGGAAAGGGUAAGAGAAGGCGGCGUUGAAGAUUACUUGUUGGUUCAUAUUAUAUGGUCUUCUUGUACUGUCAUUAUUUUGGGUGGCUGGAAAGUGUGGUAACUUGUAGGGACUACUAUGCUGUAAGCCUGUAACUAUGUUUUAACUAUUUGGGACUGUAUGGACAUUCUAAAACAUUGUUGUGUUGGUUUAUUUGGAUGACUAAAUGUUUGGAUUAUAUUAUGAUGUAUGUAUGUAAUUGUGGAUGCUCCUAAAACAAGGGAGGCUCUGGAAAAAAAAUUUCGGACAAACAUUCAGAAGUA